AUUGAACGCUGGCGGCAGGCCUAACACAUGCAAGUCGAGCGAGCGGCGGACGGGUGAGUAAUGUCUGGGAAACUGCCUGAUGGAGGGGGAUCACUACUGGAAACGGUAGCUAAUACCGCAUACCAUCAGAUGUGCCCAGAUGGGAUUAGCUAGUAGGUGGGGUAACGGCUCACCUAGGCGACGAUCCCUAGCUGGUCUGAGAGAAUGCCCAGCCACACUGGAACGGAGACACGGUCCAGACUCCUAAGGGAGGCAGCAGUGGGGAAUAUUGCACAAUGGGAGAAAGCCUGAGACAGCCAUGCCGCGUGAGUGAAGAAGGCCGUCGGGUUGUAAAGCACUUUCAGCGGGGAGGCGUUACCCGCAGAAGAAGCACCGGCUAACUACGUGCCAGCAGCCGCGGUAAUAC
rnacentral:rRNA from 1 species